rnacentral:tRNA from 1 species
CAAAAUACAAUUGUUAAUAUUAUGCAAAAUAUCACUAAAAAAAUUACCUGGCUUGAUGCCUUACAAACAAAGCCAA